CCCCUCUCAGGAUCGCGCCUGGAGAGUUUCCAGUACUCUACCAGUCUUGGCUAUGGGAGGGAGAGUCAAGCAGAGGCCAACCUUUUCCAAUUCCUAGCUUGGGCAGUGGCUAACGAGAGGAAGUCAAUCUGUUACAAGU